rnacentral:rRNA from 1 species
GACGAACGCUGGCGGCGUGCUUAACACAUGCAAGUCGAACGGAAAGGCCCUGCUUUUGUGGGGUGCUCGAGUGGCGAACGGGUGAGUAACACGUGAGUAACCUGCCCUUGACUUUGGGAUAACUUCAGGAAACUGGGGCUAAUACCGGAUAGGAGCUCCUGCUGCAUGGUGGGGGUUGGAAAGUUUCGGCGGUUGGGGAUGGACUCGCGGCUUAUCAGCUUGUUGGUGGGGUAGUGGCUUACCAAGGCUUUGACGGGUAGCCGGCCUGAGAGGGUGACCGGCCACAUGGGGACUGAGAUACGGCCCAGACUCCUACGGGGGGCAGGAGUGGGGAAUAUUGCACAAUGGGCGGAAGCCUGAUGCAGCAACGCCGCGUGCGGGAUGACGGCCUUCGGGUUGUAAACCGCUUUCGCCUGUGACGAAGCGUGAGUGACGGUAAUGGGGAAAGAAGCACCGGCUAACUACGU